ACCUCGGGCUGGGAGCAACUUACAAAAGAAGCUACCGUACUACAGUGUCGUUCAGUUAGGGGGAAUCGAGAGCGUAACUCGGCUUCAGGGUCUGAGAGCCGUUCGUGAAUGAGCGUUCCUCAACUUUAACCUUAACCGGGGAGAUCGGCCAGUAAUCUUUACCGAAUAACGGGCGGUCAUUAAGACGUAACUAUUUACAAUUAGCGCGAAGAACGGACUUCCGGAGGUUGGCAACUUUGGUCGUAGAAGCCAGACACCGACGUGGAUUGACCCCGAACAGGCAGUAAACACGAUAUGCAAUCCACUAAAGAGCCCGUCGUGAUCCGGAGGCAACAGGACUUAACCUGGCGGUAGGUAUCAAAUGCAGGGAAGGACACUCGCGAAACCAUAAAUAUGAUUGUAAAUAAAACAAAAUUUACAACAAGGAAUAUGCCGAUCGAUUCGGUAAAUUCACCCUCUGAGGAGGUAUGGGCACACAGAUUCUGGGGAGAGGGGACAUUUACAGUCAUCAUUCAGCCAGAUAUGUGCGGACUGGUUUACAUGCCUUCGAGCGAAAAAUCUGACCUAAAUCUGACAAAUAAUAAAAAUCACGCAAUAAUCCUUAACAAUACAGGUUAUGACCUGAGUAAAAGCUCGAUUUUAAGACUCGGAAGAGGUAAAGACAAUGGAGAAUACCGCUUCUUUCUCUGACACUUAGCUCGAAAUACGGAGCAGAAAGCCCCGGGUCAGUCAGUUCCGAUGACCCUCAUAGCAACGAGAUUGAGCUGCACUGUGGGGUCAUAGAAUCUCAUAUCACGAGCUCGAAGAAAAUCCUCGAGAACAUGACGAAGGAAGCCAAAGUUCGUAGACGUUGGUCGGGCAUGCUUAAUAGUCAGCUGGACGAGAUACUUAUAAGAGUAAGACGACUUGGAAUAACAAGCGUCAAGAUCCUCGGCAGCUGGUCUGAGCAAAGUGUUGAACCUCAUGAGCUCUACCAGUAAAUUGGUGACUUGUUUAGUGACCUGGGAACUUUCCGAGAACAGAACUGCAUAUUAUAAUGUAAACCUAUUUUAAUAUUUUAGAUGAACCUAUGAAUCAGGAACUAAUUUCUUCUCAGGUGGAAAUUACAGAAAAAUUCUCAUCAAUUGAUUGGUCACAGAUCCAAUCAACCUCAACCUCUAAGAGAAAUUCAGUCGCAAGAAGUUUGAUCAUUCUUUUAGUUCGAAAGAAUCCACAGUAUUAAUAGUAUCAUCAACGGAUACUUCUUGUUAGACCAUCCAAAGCCUUUCCAGUCAUACGCCUAGAAAAGAUUAACUUAAAAAAAUGUUAAGUCGCCAAAAAUAUAAGUAUAACGAACUUAAAUAAAAAUUUAAUAUUUAAAAAAAAAUCAUGCAGCUGACCAGAAAAUGUAUACUUCGUUAAAACAUUUUCAAUUAAUGUGUGAUAAGUUUCUUAAAAAAAGGUUUUCAAAUUUUAUUAAAGUUCAAUCCCGACUGACUUCUCAUAAUCCUAAAGGUCGUAGAUACUCUUAUGAGACAAAACAAUUUGCACUCAUGGUACAUUUUUUAAGCCUUAAGGUUUAUAGAUUUCUUCAAUGGAUUUGUCUUCACCUAGAACUUUACAAAUAACGACUGAAAACUGGGAAUUAAAUCCUGUUAUAAAUUAAUUUUCGUUUCAAGUUCUAGCUGUGAAAGUAAAAUCCAUAGAACCUAAGUCUAAAGAAUGUGUCUUGUGUGCAGAUGAAAUGUCUUUUAAAUCUUUUCUUUACUAUGACAUAAAAAAAGAUGAAAUCGUGAGUUUUCAUAAAACUAACACUUUUAAAUCUUGUAAUCUGGCAAAAGAGUCCGUUAUGGUUAUUAUGAUUCAUGGAAACAACCUAUUGCUUAUUUUUUUGUAGCAAAAUCUUGUACAAGACCUGAUUUACUUUCCAUAAUUUUUAGUAUGAUUCAUAAGUUACACAGUAUCUCCUUAAAUGUUAGAGUCAUAAUUUCUGAUUAAGGAUCAACUUUAAAGAAGUUUGUGGAUACCAGGCACAUUACUCCGGAAUCUUCUUAUUUUAAUGUUAGUUGUAAAGAAAUUGUGUUUAUGUUUGAUCCACCUCAUUUAUUAAAGCCAACAAUAAAUAAUUUCUUCAAUUAUCGGUUCAAAUCAUUCAAUAAAGUAGCAGAAAAAAUUCAUCUGGAAGAAUUUUACAAAUUAGAUAAAUCUCAAGUACAUCAUUGAUGCCUAAAUUAACUGAUCUACAUUAAAACCCGAAUAGUUACCGAAAAUGCGUGUCAAGUAUGCAUCUCAAAUUUUUAGUCAUACAGUUGUGACAUGGAUAAUUACUCUAAUUUCUAAUAAAAAUUUACCUUAAACUGUUUUCGAUAAUAUUGAAUUUAUUGACAACAUGGACACACUUUUCGACUUUUUUAAUUCUCAUCCAGUUUCUAAUAAACAUUCUGAUGGAAACAAAAUUGGUUUUAAACGGUUUUGUAUCCCAUUUACAAAAUCUAAAGACCAAAAAUCAUUUUUAAACUGUAUGACAAAUUAUUUUAAAAAUUUAGAAGUUCAAAAAUUCGAUGCCUUGAAAAAUGAGUGGA